rnacentral:lncRNA from 8 species
GGAUAAGUAUAUGGUACUCAAUUGAUUGGAUUGAGGGAUUGAUUGAUUAAUCGAUUGAUUAAUUGAUCUACAAAAUACAUAUCUCUGAAGCUUUACAGUCUACAUCUCAUUAAUGAUGUAGUCUUACCCUCCUUUGUUAUGCCACUUUGAGCCUGUAUAUUAGGAAAUCAGACAGACAGCAAUUAAGGAGUCAGCCUGGAGAACACCUGUGUCUCCUUAAUUCACCCAAAACAAUGUGCUUAGUCUGUUGCCAUCCAGGGAGGAAUGUCUGCUCGCCCUCGUCUGAGUCAUGGGACUUGCCACUGUGUGUGCACAGGCAUGUGUUGUCUCCAUGAGUCCAGGCUCAUGUUAUUACCUCCAUAAUUCAUCAGCUCCAAAAACAACAAUUUCGACUACAGUCAUUUGUCGAGAAGGAGACAUCCUCCACUGGAGACAUGCCAAUGCUAUCCCAUCCCAUCAAUGUCUAUUCCAAACCCUCUGUUCAUUUUCAUGAACGUUCACUUGGUACAUGAAUCAGGGUUGGGGUCAACUCAAAAUUAACAUUUUACUGCAUGAAAUACAAAUUGUCCAAAUGUUUACAAUGACGAUUUUUCCAUUUUUGAAUUCAAUUUCAAUUCACUUCCUGAAUUAAAACAUUUAAUUGACCCCAUCCUUGACUUGAAUUAAAUCCCACUUUAAAAAGCUUAUAUUGUCCUUCAAGAUUGGCUUUUGCUUGUGCUGCCCCUCACAAAAAUAAGUUUGUGGCAAAUUUGCUGCAAAUAAAUGUUGCCAGAAGUGUUUGCCACUAGUGGUGAAUCUGCAGCAAACCUUAGGCAACAAUAAUAUGUAAUGCCACUAGUGGCAAACAGUUUGCCAGAAGUAGUUCCAAGACCAGUAAGCAUUGAUGACCAGUCAGUGGGAGAAGAAAAAUCUAUUGGAAGUGAUCUACCUACCGAAGUUGUACAAUGGAUACCCUUCCCCCACCCGUCGUGUUGGAAGAGGCUGCAUUGGGAAGAGAAUGCAUCAACAUCCUGGAAAGAUGUUUGUGGUGCAUUCACUCAUAACACUUUUUUUGUGAUAAAUGAGUGUAACGUAAUCUUCUUCAAGCUUGAUAAGAAGCAAACAGUUACUGUUGGUGCUGACAUCUUCAGGACAGGAAUACCGGUUUACUUAACGGAGGAAUAAGCACACAUGUUCAUCAUUGGUGCUUUAACCAGAACCGGGGAAAAUGCACUUUAUUUAUUUUCGCACAUGCGCAGUCAUACAUCUCUCAUAGGGCAUGACUGUACCAGUGUAAGAACACAACUCAACAACAUAUUAGUCCACAUGCCAACAGUUACCAAGCAAAAACACAGAUUGAUUAGUUUGAAUCAAAUGUGUUGCCGCUUGGCUGGAGAAAUCUCUCUAGGAACAGUUGACCACACAUUUAAAUUUAGAUUUAAUAGGCCUGAGUUCCAGGUUAUGCUAGCUAAAAAAUUUUGUUAGUAUAGCUGACAGCUGACCCCAGCUGUUACAAAUAGCUGACUCCAGAUGUUACAAAGUUUUGGCUUUCAAAGCCAAACCUGCCCAUUAGCCACUGAAUCUAAGAUGCUGAAAUAGAACACGUUUUCAGUAAUUGUUUUCAGUAUCUUAAUGUUGUUUUGUGUUUUCUGAUUGUUUCAGUGCAUGCAGUCAUUAAGCUUUGGACGAAGGACUUCCACAGGGCCGCCAUCUCCAAAGUUCACUCAAAAAGGCAAUAGUUGUGAAGUGGGUUUGAUUUGUAUUUUUUUUGCAUAUUAUUUUUUUUUCACUUCCAUUGGUUGAAACCUAAUUUCUCAUCAGUAAUCACUUAGUUCAUGAACAUUCGGAAGUUAAACAUCCUAAGGUUACAAUCCCCAUAACCCAUAGAGUUCACAUUUCACUCAUGUAAAUAUUGUAGCUUCAUAAAAAGAUUAAAUAAACAAUUUAUUUGGGGAAUAUUCCGUCAUUGCUCUUUUUUCAUUAGCAUGCUGAUAAUCAUUUCAAGAUUAGGAUUUUUCAGGAUUUAUUUUGUAUCUGUUAUUAAGACAUUUAAUACAUGUAGUUUAGUAUAUUUAGUACAUUAAGUAUGUUUAGUUUAGCUUCUCUGUGAGAAGCAAGUUCAUUUAAAGUUAUAUGUGAUUUGGUUUAUGCAGAUAAGACAUUUAAUUAGUGUUGAGGAAGCUACUCUGAAAAUAUAGUUUACCAAGCUACCAAUUACUUCACACUGGAAUAAGUUAAACUACCCUUAAGAAAAAUAUUGUUUACUUAACUAUAUCUCAGAAUUAGACGUUCAUCCAUGUUUCUCAAAUUUCAAAGUUGUUGCAAACGUCAAAUUUCAAAGUGUUUAAGUUUAGGCAUUAACUCUGAAUUUUUAAGGUUAGGGUUAAGUUUAGGCAUUAACUCAAUGUUUUUUAUUUAUUUUACCUUUACUUAAUUAGGCAAGUCAGCUAAGAAUAAAUUAUUAUUUUCAAUGACAGCCUAGGAACAGUGGGUUAACUACCUUGUUCUGGGGCAGAAUGACAGAUUUGUACCUUGUCAGCUUGGGGAUUAGAUUUUGAAACCUUUCGGUCACUAGUCCAACGCUCUAACCACUAGGCUACCUGCCGCCCCAAGGAAAGAGUUAAGGUUUGGGAUAGGAGUCUAACAAAAAUCUAGAUAAAAACAUUCUAAUGUUGGAUUUGAACUUGCAACCUUUGGAAUCAGAGGCAGAUGCUUACGCCCAUUUGCCAUCCCUGUCCACAACACCCUGGCACAGCAUUUCCCAAACUCGGUCCCCGGGAACCCAAAGGGUGCACGUUUUGUUUUUUGCCCUAACACUACAUAGCUGAUUAAAAUGAUCAAAGCUUGAUCAUUAGUUCAUUAUUUGAAUCAACUGUGUAAUGAUAGGAUAAAAACCAAAACAUGCAUCCCUUGGAGUCCCGAGGACCAAGUUUGGGAAACCCCGCCCUAGCAAAACUGAAACCUACUUGAAGGUAACAGCGCUCACUGUUGCCCCUAGUGCCCGGUUUCCAUGUCAUCUCCCAACAUCCUCAACCAGGUCACCUGGGACACUAGUCAGCCAUCCUUGUGAAGGACUUCGAAUACUUGUAUCACGGGUUACCUGGUUGAUUUAUUAUAAUCUCAAUGUCUCAUCUUUCAAAAUACAUAGAGUCCUCUUAAUUUACAGCAUUUCCCUCACUCAGACAACCAAAAUGUAGCUAAAGCUGCCCAAUAAGCGGAGGGAUGGGGCAACUUCUUGUCGCGCAUGGUGGGGGUGAGCGGGUCAGCUGUUCAUUCACCCGCACACGCUCGCAAUUGCUAAUAACCCAUCCCAACCCGCCUGACUAUAAGUGAUAAAGUGAAAAUCUGGAGGCCCACAACCGACCCUAACCCAUAAUGUAGGAAAACAAUUGCUGUAGGCUACAGUCAGAGACGGCAGAAAGAUUUUUGACAGGGGUCCAUGCUUUCUUUUUCUCCUGAUUUAGAUAUGUUUCUGCUUAUAAUUUCCAACAUUUUCGUAGGCAAUUUUUUUAUCAAUUUGUCUAUAGAUACAUGCAGCUUCUCUUCUGUCAUUAUAUGUGACUAAAUAAACCCUUGCUCGCCAGAAGAAUGUCAUAAACCGAUAGAAUGAAUGCUUCAAUCUAGUUGACAUUGAUAAAGUUCUCUGUCAUCUCCGCUUCUUUCAUGGAGCAAAGAUGUUAAGGGACCGGUGAGAAAAUGCUAUAAAAAAAAUACUAAAAUGUAAAGACCGGUUGUAAGGAAAGGAAAUAGAAAGCUGUGAAAACGACCCAACAUGUUUCUGAUAAGAUUUCAGUUCGGCUUGGAUGCAUAUUUUAUGUGGUUGAAAUACUAUCAGCUUUUAUGAUGCUGAUUAAGAUAGAUACCAUCUGUAGAGGUGCUAACUGCGGAUUCACAUUCUCUCAAGAUGCUGAAAGAAAUAAAUCAUAUUUCUCCACUCCUGUUCCUGAGUCAAAAUUUUGCCUACAUUUGGUGUAUCAUUUUAAUGGAAGAAAUGCUUAAUUCUGCAGGAAUUCAUAUUAAGGUUAUAGACCUACAGUCAGAUUUCAGUUUCAAUUUAAUCCAUCUGAACAGUAGACUACAGUAGGCCAUUGUUUUCUCUUUAUUCAACCCGCCACCCACCCACCCUUCAUCCACACAAUAUUUCAUGACCCUAAACCUGCCUGCCCCGCAAUAUAACUGUGGGGUCUGCGGGUUAAGAGUCAGCCCACGCAUCAUUAGCGAGUGGCGCUCAAGUUCAGAACGGCUGUCAGUCAAACCCAUAGAGAGCUGUGAAGCGGAGACCCUGAGAUCUGACGUCAUGUAUAGCAUGUUACUGCACAGCCACUGUGUUCUAAUUUACACUCUUAUCAGUGUCCAAAUCUGCCAUUUUCAACCCGCGUACAGGUGCGAGUGUAAAAGGCUACCUAAAGUUACUUUGAAAAAGUAGUUCACUACAUUCAAACUACCUCGUGAAAAAUUAUCAUCAUGUAAAUCUGAAAUGUCAUAGACUACAAAUUGCAAGAACAGAUCACGAAGGGGUCAUAUCUUAACAGAAUGUUUAAUUUAGUCAAUUAACCCUAGGAUGCAUAUGCCGGGUCAAAAUGGCCCGGCCUAAUGUUGUUUUUUUUUCUAUAUUGACCCCCCUCCCCCAAAAUGUAAUUACCUAAUAUUCCAGGAAUUCCUUAAAUAAUGUGUCUUUAAUGUUCUAACAUCCUAGUUUUGUUUUUUAAUUUCUUAUUUUUUAAGUAAAAUAGCUUUUGCUUCACUACCCCAAGUUUUCAUAUGUGGGUCAAAUAUGACCCUUAUGUAUUUCUUAUGGAAUCCACUGCAUUGCACUUUGUUUUUGCUACAACAAUAAAAUCAAAGUAAUUAAUAAAAUAUUUAUUAUAUAUCUUGUUUAUAAUGUUCAUUAAUCACCGUUUUCAUUUAUUCUUUUUAACUCAUUGAGUAAAAGGAGUUUCAUAAGGAGGCUCAUAAGAAUG